rnacentral:rRNA from 1 species
GAUGAACGCUGGCGGCGUGCCUAAUACAUGCAAGUCGAGCGAACGGACGAGAAGCUUGCUUCUCUGAUGUUAGCGGCGGACGGGUGAGUAACACGUGGAUAACCUACCUAUAAGACUGGGAUAACUUCGGGAAACCGGAUCUAGUACCGGAUGAUAUUUUGAACCGCAUGGUUCAAAAGUGAAAGACGGUCUUGCUGUCACUUAUAGAUGGAUCCGCGCUGCAUUAGCUAGUUGGUAAGGUAACGGCUUACCAAGGCAACGAUGCAUAGCCGACCUGAGAGGGUGAUCGGCCACACUGGAACUGAGACACGGUCCAGACUCCUACGGGAGGCAGCAGUAGGGAAUCUUCCGCAAUGGGCGAAAGCCUGACGGAGCAACGCCGCGUGAGUGAUGAAGGUCUUCGGAUCGUAAAACUCUGUUAUUAGGGAAGAACAUAUGUGUAAGUAACUGUGCACAUCUUGACGGUACCUAAUCAGAAAGCCACGGCUAACUACGUG